rnacentral:rRNA from 1 species
UACGUAGGCAGCAAGCGUUGUUCGGAGUUACUGGGCGUAAAGGGUGUGUAGGCGGUUCUUUAAGUUUGCUGUGAAAUCUCCCGGCUUAACCGGGAGGGUGCGGUGAAUACUGAGGGACUAGAGUACGGGAGAGGAAAGUGGGAAUUCCUGGUGUAGCGGUGAAAUGCGUAGAUAUCAGGAGGAACACCGGUGGUGUAGACGGCUUCUGGACCGUAACUGACGCUGAAACACGAAAGCGUGGGUAGCAAACAGG